AUGGCUUCUGGGAUGCCAUGGAAGCCCUUGUUCUGGGAGAGGGUCAACGAGUCUUGCGCCAUCGCCAUCGCCGCCCGCCUCGCAGACGCCGCCCGCCUCCUCGCCUCGCCUCUGCGCCGCGGCGGCGAGGAGGGGGGUGUCGCUUCCAUGGACGCCUGCGCAAGCAACCUCGGCGAGGCCUUCAUUCUUUCCUCGCUGGGCACCGUGGAGGUCCUGGCGCUCCGGUGCAUGCUCAGCGAGGAUGCGAGGGAGCAGGAGCUCCGACCUAGGGCGCGCGCGGCCAGGGCAAGGGCCGGCGCCGCGUACGACGAGGUCGCCACGUCCCGGGGCCACCUCGGAGCAGCCGCGCGCAUCUUUCCCCGCGGUGACCUCCCCCGCUCCUACGCCGACCGGGAGGUCCUCGCCGCCAACACGGCCAUCACGGCUGCUCUGGAGCAGCUCCAGGGAGUGGAGGCCGCUCUGCGUAGCAGCGGCGACGUGGUGCGCUCCGGGGAGUGGAGGCCGCUCCGGGCGCGCGACUAG
rnacentral:rRNA from 1 species